rnacentral:rRNA from 1 species
AGAGUUUGAUCAUGGCUCAGAUUGAACGCUGGCGGCAUGCCUUACACAUGCAAGUCGAACGGCAGCACGGACUUCGGUCUGGUGGCGAGUGGCGUACGGGUGAGUAAUGCAUCGGAACGUACCCGGGAGUGGGGGAUAACUCUCCGAAAGGAGGGCUAAUACCGCAUAUUCUGUGAGCAGGAAAGCAGGGGAUCUUCGGACCUUGUGCUUCCGGAGCGGCCGAUGUCAGAUUAGCUAGUUGGUGGGGUAAAAGCCUACCAAGGCGACGAUCUGUAGCGGGUCUGAGAGGAUGAUCCGCCACACUGGAACUGAGACACGGUCCAGACUCCUACGGGAGGCAGCAGUGGGGAAUUUUGGACAAUGGGGGCAACCCUGAUCCAGCCAUGCCGCGUGAGUGAAGAAGGCCUUCGGGUUGUAAAGCUCUUUCGGCCGGGAAGAAAUCGCGUUGGCUAAUAUCCAGCGUGGAUGACGGUACCGGAAUAAGAAGCACCGGCUAACUACGUGCCAGCAGCCGCGGUAAUACGUAGGGUGCGAGCGUUAAUCGGAAUUACUGGGCGUAAAGCGUGCGCAGGCGGUUUUUUAAGACAGGCGUGAAAUCCCCGGGCUUAACCUGGGAACUGCGCUUGUGACUGGAAGACUCGAGUACGGCAGAGGGGGGUGGAAUUCCACGUGUA